rnacentral:rRNA from 1 species
AGUCGACGGGAAGAAUGAAGAGCUUGCUCUUUAUGAAAUCCAGUGGCAAACGGGUGAGUAACACGUAAACAACCUGCCUUCAGGAUGGGGACAACAGACGGAAACGACUGCUAAUACCGAAUACGAUUCUUGAGUCGCAUGACACAAGAAAGAAAGGGUGGCCUCUACUUGUAAGCUAUCGCCUGAAGAGGGGUUUGCGUCCGAUUAGGUAGUUGGUGAGGUAACGGCCCACCAAGCCGACGAUCGGUAGCCGGUCUGAGAGGAUGAACGGCCACAUUGGAACUGAGACACGGUCCAGACUCCUACGGGAGGCAGCAGUGGGGAAUCUUCCGCAAUGGGCGAAAGCCUGACGGAGCAACGCCGCGUGAGUGAAGACGGCCUUCGGGUUGUAAAACUCUGUGAUUCGGGACGAAAGAUAAGUAGACGAAUAAUCUGCAUAAGUGACGGUACCGAAAAAGCAAGCCACGGCUAACUACGUGCCAGCAGCCGCGGUAAUACGUAGGUGGCAAGCGUUGUCCGGAAUUAUUGGGCGUAAAGCGCGCGCAGGCGGCUACUUAAGUCCAUCUUAAAAGUGCGGGGCUUAACCCCGUGAUGGGAUGGAAACUGAGAAGCUGGAGUGUCGGAGAGGAAAGUGGAAUUCCUAGUGUAGCGGUGAAAUGCGUAGAGAUUAGGAAGAACACCGGUGGCGAAGGCGACUUUCUGGACGGCAACUGACGCUUAGGCGCGAAAGCGUGGGGAGCAAACAGGAUUAGAUACCCUGGUAGUCCACGCCGUAAACGAUGGAUACUAGGUGUAGGAGGUAUCGACCCCUUCUGUGCCGGAGUUAACGCAAUAAGUAUCCCGCCUGGGAAGUACGAUCGCAAGAUUAAAACUCAAAGGAAUUGACGGGGGC